CUGUGUCGUGCCCGUCGUGCCUAAUUUGUGCAAAUUGGCUAACCUUCGCGAAGUUAGCUAAUAGGUAAUCCCUGAGCAGCGAUCGGUUGUUGACAGUUAGGGCUGCACUGCUGGGAGAUAAUUGUGAAGUUUGUGAACGUUAAAUUAACGUUUUAACGAAGAUGGCACGCGUAUUGGUUGGGGUGAAGAGAGUAAUUGAUUAUGCAGUAAAGAUUCGAGUAAAGCCUGAUAAGACAGGGGUGGUGACAGAUGGCGUUAAACAUUCGAUGAAUCCGUUUGAUGAGAUAGCUGUAGAGGAGGCUGUGAGGCUGAAAGAAAAGAAGAUAGCACAAGAGAUUGUUGCUGUGUCUUGUGGACCGGCACAAUCUCAGGAAACCCUUCGAACUGCUCUGGCUAUGGGAGUGGAUCGAGGAAUUCAUGUAGAAGUCUCAGGACCUGAAUAUGACACUCUGCAGCCAAUACAUGUGUCCAAGAUAUUGGCAAAGUUGGCACAGGAUGAGAAAGCCGACAUUGUUAUUGUUGGAAAACAGGCAAUUGAUGAUGACUCCAAUCAGACAGCUCAGAUGACUGCUGCACUAUUGGAUUGGCCCCAGGCAACCUUUGCCUCAAAGAUAGAGAAACAGAAUGGUGAGCUACAAGUUACAAGGGAGAUUGAUGGAGGUUUGGAGACAAUAAAGGUGAAGUUACCAGCAGUUGUCAGUGCAGACUUAAGACUUAAUGAACCCAGAUAUGCUACACUUCCAAACAUUAUGAAAGCAAAGAAGAAACCUAUAAAAAAAGUAAGUCCGAAAGACUUGGGUGUGGAUACUGCUGCUCGUAUUGAAGUGCUGAGUGUUGAGGAUCCUCCAACUCGACAGGCUGGCGUCAUCUUGCCUGAUGUUGAUCAGCUGAUUGUCAAACUAAAGGAAGGAGGACAUGUGCAAUAGACUUAAUUGUGGUCAGGCUGAAGGUUUUGAGAACAGAAGGGGUAACUUCAUAAUCAUUAAUCCAUUGUGACAAGGAAUCUUGAACAAUGGUUUUGAGACUCAAAUUGUAGCGCACUACAUUCAACAGAAUUAUAACUCUGCCAUCACUGUUUUCAUUUUAAAUCCUGUUUUGGUGUUUUUAAUUGCCUGGUAGUUUGCUGAUUAUUAAAAUGUUUUUAAGGUAAAGAGGACAGGCUUAUGUGAACAUAGUGAUGAAUCUUGAUGUUUCAUAAAAGUGGUUUGUUACUAACUACUAGUGUACUAAACAAGAAUGAAGUUAGGUGUUUAUACUGUAAUGGUGGCUGGGUGCUUUUCUAAUUAUGGUUAUUCUUUAUUGGACGACUACCUUUAUCUGCAUAACACUGAGAAGGUUCAUUAAUUUCUGUUUCUAAUUAAGAUGAUAAUUUAUAUUUCUUCAUAUAACUUUCAU